rnacentral:rRNA from 1 species
AAUGAACGCUGGCGGCAUGCCUAACACAUGCAAGUCGAACGAGACCUUCGGGUCUAGUGGCGCACGGGUGCGUAACGCGUGGGAACCUGCCUUUAGGUUCGGAAUAACUCAGAGAAAUUUGAGCUAAUACCGGAUGAUGUCUUCGGACCAAAGAUUUAUCGCCUUUAGAUGGGCCCGCGUUGGAUUAGCUAGUUGGUGGGGUAAAGGCCUACCAAGGCGACGAUCCAUAGCUGGUCUGAGAGGAUGAUCAGCCACACUGGGACUGAGACACGGCCCAGACUCCUACGGGAGGCAGCAGUGGGGAAUAUUGGACAAUGGGCGAAAGCCUGAUCCAGCAAUGCCGCGUGAGUGAUGAAGGCCUUAGGGUUGUAAAGCUCUUUUACCCGAGAUGAUAAUGACAGUAUCGGGAGAAUAAGCUCCGGCUAACUCCGU